ensembl:snRNA
ACAAAGGGCUUCUGUCAUUAGUGGCACACGCAGAGCAGCUCUGUUUGCUUGCGGAAUCGACAUCAAGAGAUGUCGGAAGCAUAAUUUUUUGGUUCUUGGGCAGCUGGUGAUCGUUGGUCCUAGCGAAAGG